rnacentral:rRNA from 2 species
CAAACGACUCUCGGCAACGGAUAUCUUGGCUCACGCAUCGAUGAAGAACGUAGCAAAAUGCGAUACUUGGUGUGAAUUGCAGAAUCCCGUGAACCAUCGAGUUUUUGAACGCAAGUUGCGCCCGAAGCCAUUCGGCCGAGGGCACAUCUGCCUGGGCGUCACGC